GACGAACGCUGGCGGCGUGCUUAACACAUGCAAGUCGAACGGAAAGGCCCUGCUUUUGUGGGGUGCUCGAGUGGCGAACGGGUGAGUAACACGUGAGUAACCUGCCCUUGACUUUGGGAUAACUUCAGGAAACUGGGGCUAAUACCGGAUAGGAGCUCCUGCUGCAUGGUGGGGGUUGGAAAGUUUCGGCGGUUGGGGAUGGACUCGCGGCUUAUCAGCUUGUUGGUGGGGUAGUGGCUUACCAAGGCUUUGACGGGUAGCCGGCCUGAGAGGGUGACCGGCCAAAUUGGGACUGAGAUACGGCCCAGACUCCUACGGGAGGCAGCAGUGGGGAAUAUUGCACAAUGGGCGGAAGCCUGAUGCAGCAACGCCGCGUGCGGGAUGACGGCCUUCGGGGUGUAAACCGCUUUCGCCUGUGACGAAGCGUGAGUGACGGUAAUGGGUAAAGAAGCACCGGCUAACUACGUG
rnacentral:rRNA from 1 species